rnacentral:rRNA from 1 species
UACGAAGGGGGCUAGCGUUGCUCGGAAUCACUGGGCGUAAAGCGCACGUAGGCGGAUUGCUAAGUCAGGGGUGAAAUCCUGGAGCUCAACUCCAGAACUGCCUUUGAUACUGGCGAUCUCGAGUCCGGGAGAGGUGAGUGGAACUGCGAGUGUAGAGGUGAAAUUCGUAGAUAUUCGCAAGAACACCAGUGGCGAAGGCGGCUCACUGGCCCGGUACUGACGCUGAGGUGCGAAAGCGUGGGGAGCAAACA